rnacentral:rRNA from 1 species
GAUGAACGCUGGCGGCGUGCUUAACACAUGCAAGUAGAACGAUGAAGCCUGGCUUGCUGGGUGGAUUGGUGGCGAACGGGUGGGUGAGUCGUGAGUAAGUUGCCCUUAACGCUGGGGUGGGCCUGGGUUAGUGGGGCUAAUUACUGCUACGUGCGACUACCGCUUGGAGGGUGUUGGAAAGAUUGGUCGGAGUUGGAUGGACUCGGGGGCUCUCAGCUUGUUGGUGAGGUAAUGUGUCACCACGGCGACGCAGGGUAGCCGGCCUGAGAGGGUGACCGGCCACACUGGGACUGAGACACGGCCCAGACGCCUACGGGAGGCAGCAGUGGAGAAUAUUGCACGAUGGGCGAAAUCCUGAUGCAGCGACUCCGCGUGAGGGAUGACUGCCUUAGGGUUGUAACCCUCUUUCAGUAGGGAAGAAGCGAAAGUGACGGUACCUGCAGAAGAAGCACCGGCUAACUACGUG